AGCUAGUUGGUGGGGUAAUGGCCCACCAAGGCGACGAUCAGUAGCUGGUCUGAGAGGAUGAUCAGCCACACUGGGACUGAGACACGGCCCAGACCCCUACGGGAGGCAGCAGUGGGGAAUUUUCCGCAAUGGGCGAAAGCCUGACGGAGCAACGCCGCGUGAGGGAUGAAGGCCUCUGGGCUGUAAACCUCUUUUCUCAAGGAAGAAGACAUGACGGUACUUGAGGAAUAAGCCACGGCUAAUUCCGUGCCAGCAGCCGCGGUAAUACGGGAGUGGCAAGCGUUAUCCGGAAUUAUUGGGCGUAAAGCGUCCGCAGGCGGCCUUGUAAGUCUGUCGUUAAAGCGUGGAGCUUAACUCCAUUUCAGCGAUGGAAACUACAAGGCUUGAGUGUGGUAGGGGCAGAGGGAAUUCCCGGUGUAGCGGUGAAAUGCGUAGAUAUCGGGAAGAACACCAGUGGCGAAGGCGCUCUGCUGGGCCAUAACUGACGCUCAUGGACGAAAGCCAGGGGAGCGAAAGGGAUUAGAUACCCCUGUAGUCCUGGCCGUAAACGAUGAACACUAGGUGUCGGGGGAAUCGACCCCCUCGGUGUCGUAGCUAACGCGUUAAGUGUUCCGCCUGGGGAGUACGCACGCAAGUGUGAAACUCAAAGGAAUUGACGGGGGCCCGCACAAGCGGUGGAGUAUGUGGUUUAAUUCGAUGCAACGCGAAGAACCUUACCAGGGUUUGACAUCCUGCGAAUCCCUUGGAAACGAGGGAGUGCCUUCGGGAGCGCAGAGACAGGUGGUGCAUGGCUGUCGUCAGCUCGUGUCGUGAGAUGUUGGGUUAAGUCCCGCAACGAGCGCAACCCACGUCUUUAGUUGCCAGCAUUCAGUUGGGCACUCUAGAGAGACCGCCGGUGAUAAACCGGAGGAAGGUGUGGAUGACGUCAAGUCAUCAUGCCCCUUACAUCCUGGGCUACACACGUACUACAAUGCUACGGACAAAGGGUUGCAAGCUCGCGAGAGUUAGCUAAUCCCAUAAACCGUGGCUCAGUUCAGAUCGUAGGCUGCAACUCGCCUACGUGAAGGAGGAAUCGCUAGUAAUCGCAGGUCAGCAUACUGCGGUGAAUACGUUCCCGGGCCUUGUACACACCGCCCGUCACACCAUGGAAGUUGGCCAUGCCCGAAGUCGUUACUCCAACCCUUGUGGAGGAGGACGCCGAAGGUGGGGCUGAUGACUGGGGUGAAGUCGUAACAAGGUAGCCGUACCGGAAGGUGCGGCUG
rnacentral:rRNA from 1 species